rnacentral:rRNA from 1 species
GACGAACGCUGGCGGCGUGCCUAACACAUGCAAGUCGAGCGAUGAAACCUUUCGGGGUGGAUUAGCGGCGGACGGGUGAGUAACACGUGGGUAACCUGCCUCAAAGAGGGGGAUAGCCUCCCGAAAGGGAGAUUAAUACCGCAUAACAUUAGUUUUUCGCAUGAAGAACUAAUUAAAGGAGUAAUCCGCUUUGAGAUGGACCCGCGGCGCAUUAGCUAGUUGGUGAGGUAAAGGCUCACCAAGGCGACGAUGCGUAGCCGACCUGAGAGGGUGAUCGGCCACAUUGGAACUGAGAUACGGUCCAGACUCCUACGGGAGGCAGCAGUGGGGAAUAUUGCACAAUGGGCGAAAGCCUGAUGCAGCAACGCCGCGUGAGUGAUGAAGGCCUUCGGGUUGUAAAGCUCUGUCUUUGGGGACGAUAAUGACGGUACCCAAGGAGGAAGCCACGGCUAACUACGUG